GAUGAACGCUGGCGGCGUGCCUAAUACAUGCAAGUCGAGCGAACAGACGAGGAGCUUGCUCCUCUGACGUUAGCGGCUGACGGGUGAGUAACACGUGGAUAACCUACCUAUAAGACUGGGAUAACUUCGGGAAACCGGAGCUAAUACUGGAUAAUAUAUUGAACCGCAUGGUUCAAUAGCGAAUGACGGUUUUGCUGUCACUUAUAGAUGGAUCCGCGCCGCAUUAGCUAGUUGGUAAGGUAACGGCUUACCAAGGCAACGAUGCGUAGCCGACCUGAGAGGGUGAUCGGCCACACUGGAACUGAGACACGGUCCAGACUCCUACGGGAGGCAGCAGUAGGGAAUCUUCCGCAAUGGGCGAAAGCCUGACGCAGCAACGCCGCGUGAGUGAUGAAGGUCUUCGGAUCGUAAAACUCUGUUAUUAGGGAAGAACAACUGUGUAAGUAACUAUGCACGUCUUGACGGUACCUAAUCAGAAAGCCACGGCUAACUACGUG
rnacentral:rRNA from 1 species